rnacentral:rRNA from 1 species
UACGGAGGGGGCUAGCGUUGUCCGAAGUUACUGGGCGUAAAGCGCGCGUAGGCGGGUUGGUAAGUCCGCUGUGAAAGCCCGGAGCUCAACUCCGGAGGGUCGGUGGAUACUGCCAGUCUUGAAGGUGCUAGGGGGAGAUGGAAUUACCGGUGUAGCGGUGAAAUGCGUAGAUAUCGGUAGGAACACCAGUGGCGAAGGCGGUCUCCUGGGGCAUUCUUGACGCUGAGGCGCGAAGGCCAGGGGAGCAAACGGG